UCCCUGAUGGUCCAGUGGCUAAGACUGCACUCCCAAUGCAGAGGGCCUCAGUUAAAUCCCUGGUUGGGGAG